CCUACGGGGGGCAGCAGUGAGGAAUAUUGGUCAAUGGACGAGAGUCUGAACCAGCCAAGUAGCGUGAAGGAUGACUGCCCUAUGGGUUGUAAACUUCUUUUAUAUGGGAAUAAAAUGUUCCACGUGUGGGAUUUUGUAUGUAUCAUAUGAAUAAGGAUCGGCUAACUCCGUGCCAGCAGCCGCGGUAAUACGGAGGAUCCGAGCGUUAUCCGGAUUUAUUGGGUUUAAAGGGAGCGUAGGUGGAUUGUUAAGUCAGUUGUGAAAGUUUGCGGCUCAACCGUAAAAUUGCAGUUGAAACUGGCAGUCUUGAGUACAGUAGAGGUGGGCGGAAUUCGUGGUGUAGCGGUGAAAUGCUUAGAUAUCACGAAGAACUCCGAUUGCGAAGGCAGUUCACUGGACUGCAACUGACACUGAGGCUCGAAAGUGUGGGUAUCAAACAGGAUUAGAUACCCCAGUAGUC
rnacentral:rRNA from 1 species